rnacentral:tRNA from 1 species
UGCCGAAACCCGGGAUCGAACCAGGGACCUUUAGAUAUUCAGUCUAACACUCUCCUAACUGAUAAGGC